AGAGCGGCCGAUGUCUGAUUAGCUAGUUGGUAAGGUAAUGGCUUACCAAGGCGACGAUCAGUAGUUGGUCUGAGAGGACGACCAGCCACACUGGGACUGAGACACGGCCCAGACUCCUACGGGAGGCAGCAGUGGGGAAUUUUGGACAAUGGGCGCAAGCCUGAUCCAGCAAUGCCGCGUGAGUGAAGAAGGCCUUCGGGUUGUAAAGCUCUUUCAGUCGAGAAGAAAAGAUUGUGACUAAUAAUCAUAAUUGAUGACGGUAUCGACAGAAGAAGCACCGGCUAACUACGUGCCAGCAGCCGCGGUAAUACGUAGGGUGCGAGCGUUAAUCGGAAUUACUGGGCGUAAAGGGUGCGCAGGCGGUUCUGUAAGUCAGAUGUGAAAUCCCCGGGCUUAACCUGGGAAU
rnacentral:rRNA from 1 species